AGUGGCGUAGCCGAAUCGGUGUCGCGGCCAGCCAGAUAGGGGCGGAGGUCCGGAACCCAGUCUGGACCCGAGCGGGGGGCCAUGGAGAAAGCGGCCCGAGGCGCUGUUUACACCGACUAGCGCGGGCCCCUUGCGGCUGCAGGCAUCAUGGACCGAGCCCCCACAGAGCAGAAUGUCAAGCUGUCAGCUGAGGUAGAGCCAUUUAUUCCCCAGAAGAAGAGUCCUGAUACAUUUAUGAUCCCUAUGGCUCUCCCAAAUGAUAAUGGAAGUGUUUCUGGUGUAGAACCAACUCCAAUUCCCAGCUACCUGAUUACUUGUUACCCAUUUGUGCAGGAAAACCAGUCCAAUAGGUAAUUUGUUUAUUUUUAUUUUCUUUUUUGUGGGGGUGGCUAUAAAAGCUGGCAAAGUGCACUUAAUAUUUUUCUUUUGCAACUUUUAGACUUUAACCAUUUCUCUAUUAAGAGGAGUAAAUAAAACAAUACUGAAAUUUGGAAAUUGUUAAUAUGGAUUAGUUUCUCAUUUUUGCUAAGAGAAAAUUGAAUUCUU
rnacentral:sRNA from 1 species